rnacentral:rRNA from 1 species
GCUAUGACCAUGAUUACGCCAAGCUAUUUAGGUGACACUAUAGAAUACUCAAGCUAUGCAUCCAACGCGUUGGGAGCUCUCCCAUAUGGUCGACCUGCAGGCGGCCGCACUAGUGAUUGUAGUCAUAUGCUUGUCUCAAAGAUUAAGCCAUGCAUGUCUAAGUAUAAGCACUUUAUACUGUGAAACUGCGAAUGGCUCAUUAAAUCAGUUAUCGUUUAUUUGAUAGUACCUUACUACAUGGAUACCUGUGGUAAUUCUAGAGCUAAUACAUGCUAAAAACCCCGACUUCGGAAGGGGUGUAUUUAUUAGAUAAAAAACCAAUGCCCUUCGGGGCUCCUUGGUGAUUCAUAAUAACUUAACGAAUCGCAUGGCCUUGCGCCGGCGAUGGUUCAUUCAAAUUUCUGCCCUAUCAACUUUCGAUGGUAGGAUAGUGGCCUACCAUGGUGGCAACGGGUAACGGGGAAUUAGGGUUCGAUUCCGGAGAGGGAGCCUGAGAAACGGCUACCACAUCCAAGGAAGGCAGCAGGCGCGCAAAUUACCCAAUCCCGACACGGGGAGGUAGUGACAAUAAAUACUGAUACGGGGCUCUUUCGGGUCUCGUAAUUGGAAUGAGUACAAUCUAAAUCCCUUAACGAGGAACAAUUGGAGGGCAAGCCUGGUGCCAGCAGCCGCGGUAAUUCCAGCUCCAAUAGCGUAUA